rnacentral:tRNA from 1 species
GGGCCCAUAGCUCAGCCUGGUAGAAAAGAUGAUUCUUUACCAAAAGCGAUUGACUCUUAAUCAAUAGGUCACGGGUUCGAAUCCCGCUGGGCCCA